ACACGCGUGGUGAAACGGUAUCAGGCUUGUCUUCCAAUGCGUUAGCAAGCGGUUCGGGUUUGACUCCCGGUACGUGUA
rnacentral:tRNA from 1 species